CAGCACCUCAAGUGGUCAGGAUGAUUAUUGGGCCUAAAGCAUCCGUAGCCGUCUCUGUAAGUUUUUGGUUAAAUCUGUACGCUCAACGUACAGGCUGCCGGGAAUACUGCAGAGCUAGGGAGUGGGAGAGGUAGACGGUACUCGGUAGGAAGGGGUAAAAUCCUUUGAUCUAUUGAUGACCACCUGUGGCGAAGGCGGUCUACCAGAACACGUCCGACGGUGAGGGAUGAAAGCUGGGGGAGCAAACCGGAUUAGAUACCCGAGUAGUCC
rnacentral:rRNA from 1 species